GCAGCUUCACGUCCUUUCUGAAGACGGUGGAUUUUCUGACGUGCGCUGGUCUGUUACUGCAAAGAGAGCAGAGUGAAGGCCACGUCCGAACCACUAGGUCUCGUUCACCGACCGUCCUGAAGAACGAAUUACAACGUUUUAACGAGUUUUAACGACGGUACCGGCUUUCACCAAAGACGUAUCUGGGAUUUGCUCUUCGUGUCUCUCGGCGUUUUGUUGUCCAGCACCACAUCUGACAACAGUCAAAGGGACGUGGGGGCCCAAACGAAGGUCUACUCAGCUGACAGGCCCCCGGCAGAGCCACGCACGGCCCCAACGCGCUGGUCCAGCUCAGCCAUGUCCUCCUCCACGGGUCAGCAUCUCUCCUCUGUUGGUUUUGGUGCCUCAAACAUCUUUAUACCCAUCAGCCGUGCGCCCUUCUCCUUAUGCAGCGUUCCCUGAACGAGUCAGUGCGUCCCGUGCGUCCUUUGGCUUUAUUUUCUAUCCACUACUGAAGCUUCUAAAUACGGCAGCUCGUUGGCCGUCCUCCACUUCACACGCCUUUCUUCAGUUUGGAGUUCGCUGCUCCACCGUCUUUAGAUUUUCGUUUCCUGACUUUCCGUGUAAGGUGUGCGCACACAGCCCUGCAGUCUCCAGCCCUUUAAUUGGCAUCGGCUAAUUAGGAACGACUGGCACGCGCUUUCGACUUACAAACACAUGGGAUUCAGCAAUAUAAGAACACAGGUUUAGGAACGUGUUCGUGUAUCAGAAGUAGACUUUUCUUAGGAGGUUUCUUAAGAAACCCCGUAGGAAGAUGCUGGUGAAUGAGACCCAGUGUGUCUCUAAUCUGUUUAUAUCUCACUCGCUGUAGAGUGUGUGUGUGUGCGUGUGUGUGUGUGUGUGUGUACAGGGAUAAACAGUCUGUGAGGAACAUCCAUGCAGGCCAAUAUAAUAAAUAAUCCACUCCGUCGUAGUGAAAUGUCCCUGUCUUCCUCCCCGACCACAGUAAUGCACCGCAUCAGAAGAACAUUAAACAUAUACACAACUCGCACAUCACGACCACGCGAGUGCAUGUGAGUGUCCAAACUGAAGUGGCGAGUAUGGGCCAUGCUUCAGGUAAAUAAAUGAUAAACUGAAAUAUGGUGAUGAAUAAUACACCAGUCUCUGCGGGGCGACAGAUUGGACUUUUCAUAUUUAAUAGACCGAUGGGUCCCACGCAACAUGGAGCCGUGACACGUACUGUACAUGCUACAACAUGAAACAACAGCGUUGGACAUACAGUGAAACCAAACACAUGAAGCACGUGGGCUCAGCUCCAACAGGGGCCUAAACCUGGGCUCAGCUCCAACAGGGGCCUACACGUCGAUACCUCUUAUCAUCUGCCCUGAAGAAUUAUUUAACAGCCUUUGUAAUAUCAGAUCAUGACCCAUAUUCCUGCUCGCUCUCUGAUUGGCUGAACAGGGUUCAGACACUGGAUGAGCCUCAGACUGACGAGGUCGUCACGCAGCAUCACGCAUGAUGUGAAUCUGAUGUACGUUGUAGCUUGUUAAACACUUUGGAUUUCAUGAGCUAAACCCGUCUGAUGCACACAGUAACGUGCAGCAGAGCGGAAGUUAGCUGAAAAUAAAAUAUCUAACAGUGUUACUGAUGCUUCAUGAAAGCACAUGCACGCCGUGCUCGGGGCCAGACUCAGGAGCUGAGCUGCCUUAUUAGAGGGCGCACAGGGAGGAAAACGACCGAGGGAGCCAGUGGGAAGAGGAGCGGGCAUUCUGCUGCCUCCUCUCCUGACCACUUCAGUCAGAACUGCAGACACGGUGCCUGUGAAAUCUCUGAGGCUCUGCUGGCUCUUGGCACACUCUGUUUUCACACGCGCUUCUGGCACCAAACAGUUUCAAACACUACAAAUUGUCAGAACAGUUGAAAUAUGUGGUGGUGCUCCGGCCACCAAAACGCAGCUGAUUUACUGCUCAGGCAAAUGUGGUGAUGUUUACACAAACAUAAUUCAUUUAACUAACACUAAUUUUUAGCAUCACAUUAAAGAAAUAAAUGAGCAAACAUUAUGAUUUCACAUUUCUGUUAAAGAAACUGAAUCAUGGGGGGGAAAGCUCACACAGCCGAUAAU